rnacentral:lncRNA from 1 species
ACCAUUCAGCAGCAGCUAGGCUAUGCCUCUCAUGAUCAUGACACGUAGUGGAAAUUUUCCUGGCUUCUAUACAUCAUCAUCUCUGCCUGGUUAAGUAAAGGGCACUGAACAAGUGAAGCUGUGCUGAAAACAACAGUGGCCAAGGCAGAGAUAUUCUUAUACCUCAACCCGUUGUGCAGAUGGAAGUCUGGCCAAAAAACCAUAAAGCAUCAAGUCUGACUAUUGGUUUGCCAUGGCUCUUUGAAACAGUUACUCUUGUCCUCAUUGUAGAGAUGGCGAUACUAAGGCAGAAUAUGUUUCUCUUGCUCAUCGGACCAAAGUUUGGAAUCACGUCUCAUCUUCGUGUAUUUUGAAAAUCUAACAAAUCUAGAAGAUGGUGUGAAUGUGCAUAUAUUUAGACAAUUUAAAAUUUUGUCAAGGACAUGAAAGAAAGACAUGUUUUCUAACAAAACAGAAAAAAACAAAAAUAAGAACAGAAUGCUUUUAACAUUGCUUAAAGAACUACAGAACUAUGGUGGCAAAGUGAGUAUGUCAUACAAGGUAGGCUAUGUAAAUCUAUGUGUGAUAAUUGUGUACUAUUCAUUGAUAGGGGAUGUACUUUCUACUUAACACAUGUUCUCCUCCUAGAUACCUUACCUAUAGGUACAGAAGUAUCUAUUAUAUUGGUUUAGGCUGAUUCUAAGGGAUAUUUCUCUUAAUGUAAGCUGAAGCAGAGAGAAACUCUAUUGGCAGAUGCAAGUGACUUUUUUAACACAAUGAGUUACUGAAGGAUGGAUUCUUAAGCUAUGGAAUAUUGCUGAAAUCAAAGCUGCUAUAAUGCAGUUAUACUUUCAUAAGUCUGAAUAGAAAAAAAAGUCACAUCAUGGAAAAGAGAACUCAAUCAAAUAUCGGACUUCCACACUAUUUAUGUGUACUAUGUGUACUAUGUGUUCUUAAUAAAUAUUCUCAUAAAUACCUGCAAAAU